UAGGGACAUGGGCUCCAGCGGUGCCCGGCCUGCCUUGCUAUCCUGCUUCCAGAAGCUGAGUCCACCCCGGACUUCUCGGACGUCUAGGAAAUUGUGUCUCCGGGGGAGAGAGUGGUGCCUGGGAGCUGGAUGGAGAGGCAGCGGCAUCUACCGGAGUGAAGCAAGGCUUUUCAACGUGGCCAUUUAAUGUGUAUUGGUCAGGCCCUGGCAGGACAUAGGACACCCUCAAAUUGGGUCAUUUGGGGAGAAUUUAACGGAUUUGGCAUCUGCAAAGGGGCCCCCACUGUGAGGGCUCCCGGCCCGCUGCCUGGGGAAGGUGAGGAUCUGACCCCCACUGGGCCGCAGGUGCUGUUGACCUCUGAGUGCUGGUGCGCAGCCAGGACAGGGCGCCGAACCAAGGCCAGGUGCGGUAAUGGGUGAACGGACACAGGGGCAAAGAGAUCCCAGCCCUGCUGGAACGGGCCGGCGUGAACGGGAGUAGCUGACACGUGGGGGCGCCCAGGGCGGCGAGCGCUGUCCCCUGGGGGGCCCAGGAGGAAAUCCAGAGCCCCUGAGAUGGGCCCCCGAGGCCGUGGUGAUGACUUGAUCCUGGGUCCAUUCUUCUCCGUCUCACAGGCGAGGGCCGGGAGCCCAGCUGGAGCUGGCGUGGAGGAAACGGCCCCUCUCCAGGCCGCUCCCUCUCCGUCAAGGAUCAGGGGCACUUCUUGCCCAGCAGGAGAGCGGGUCCCCAUCCUCCGCGGCCCCACUGGCCACAACUCACCGCUGACACAGUUGCGGGUUUACCGCCAGGAAAGGUGCGGCCGGAAGAGCCGAGGCAGGGCCAAAGGAAAACGACACGAGGCAGCAAGAGCCAGGUCUGCCCAGGCUCGGGGCUGGCCCCCACCGCUGGGGGCUGUGGGGCAGUGGGCAAGGACGGAACGUCAGGGGGUGUGGACUAUCCUGGCACGGGAGCCGCUGUUCCUGCCAUCACCCCCAAUCCAAGCUGCGGGGGCUCCUCCCAUGGCCGUCUUGAGGGAGCAGGUGGGCGAAUCACACUCCCUGCCCCUGGGAGGCCCCAGACGCAAGAGGCAGACAGGUACCGAGGUGAUCCAGUGCUUGAGAGCCUCCUGGAAUCUCCGGGAGUUGACUCUCCGGGGGUAGUCUACCAGGAGGGGUGGCCGACCACGCACGCGUGUGCACUGAACACUCCUAUGUGCCCAGCCCUGUGGACAAACUGUUGAAGUCCUGCUCCCAAGGGGCUUACCUAUCAG